AAGUCGUAACAAGGUCUCCGUUGGUGAACCAGCGGAGGGAUCAUUGCUGGAACGCGCCUCGGCGCACCCAGAAACCCUUUGUGAACUUAUACCUAUUGUUGCCUCGGCGAAGGCCGGCCUCUCUUCUGAGGCCCCCCGGGAACGGGGAGCAGCCCGCCGGCGGCCAACCAAACUCUUGUUUCUUAGUGAAUCUCUGAGUAAAAAAACAUAAAUGAAUCAAAACUUUCAACAACGGAUCUCUUGGUUCUGGCAUCGAUGAAGAACGCAGCGAAAUGCGAUAAGUAAUGUGAAUUGCAGAAUUCAGUGAAUCAUCGAAUCUUUGAACGCACAUUGCGCCCUCUGGUAUUCCGGAGGGCAUGCCUGUUCGAGCGUCAUUUCAACCCUCAAGCCUGGCUUGGUGUUGGGGCACUGCCUGUAAAAGGGCAGGCCCUGAAAUCUAGUGGCGAGCUCGCUAGGACCCCGAGCGUAGUAGUUUAUAUCUCGUUCUGGAAGGCCCUGGCGGUGCCCUGCCGUUAAACCCCCAACUUCUGAAAUUUUGACCUCGGAUCAGGUAGGAAUACCCGCUGAACUUAAGCAUAUCAA
rnacentral:rRNA from 1 species